rnacentral:rRNA from 1 species
GGCGGGCGGGCCAAGCGCCCCCCCGGCCCCCCGCGGGCGCCCGCCGGAGGAUACCCAAAACUCUUGACAUUAGUGGCCUCUCUGAGUAUUCUUUACUGAAUAAGUCAAAACUUUCAACAACGGAUCUCUUGGUUCUGGCAUCGAUGAAGAACGCAGCGAAAUGCGAUAAGUAAUGUGAAUUGCAGAAUUCAGUGAAUCAUCGAAUCUUUGAACGCACAUUGCGCCCGCCAGUAUUCUGGCGGGCAUGCCUGUUCGAGCGUCAUUUCAACCAUCAAGCCCCCGGGCUUGUGUUGGGGACCUGCGGCUGCCCGCAGGCCCUGAAAACCAGUGGCGGGCUCGCUAGUCACACCGAGCGUAGUAGCAUACAUCUCGCUCAGGGCGUGCUGCGGGUUCCGGCCGUUAAACAGCCUCUGCGCUACACCCAAGGUUGACCUCGGAUUCAGGUAGAAGACCCGUAAU